UACAGAGGGUGCAAGCGUUGUUCGGAAUUAUUGGGCGUAAAGCGCGUGUAGGCGGCUUUGCAAGUCGGAUGUGAAAGCCCUCGGCUCAACCGAGGAAGUGCGUUCGAAACUGCAGAGCUUGAGUGCCGGAGAGGGUGGCGGAAUUCCCAGUGUAGUGGUGAAAUACGUAGAGAUUGGGAAGAACACCAGUGGCGAAGGCGGCUAUCUGGACGGUUUCUGACGCUAAGACGCGAAAGCGUGGGGAGCAAACAGG
rnacentral:rRNA from 1 species